AGAGUUUGAUCCUGGCUCAGGAUGAACGCUGGCGGCGUGCCUAACACAUGCAAGUCGAACGAAGCUUGACGGAUGAUUUCUUCGGAAUGAAACCAGAUAUGACUUAGUGGCGGACGGGUGAGUAACACGUGAGCAACCUGCCUUUCAGAGGGGGAUAACGGCUGGAAACGGUCGCUAAUACCGCAUGAAGUGUUCGGAUGGCAUCAUCUGAACAUCAAAGAUUUAUCGCUGAAAGAUGGGCUCGCGUCUGAUUAGAUAGUUGGUGGGGUAACGGCCUACCAAGUCUACGAUCAGUAGCCGGACUGAGAGGUUGAACGGCCACAUUGGGACUGAGAUACGGCCCAGACUCCUACGGGAGGCAGCAGUGGGGAAUAUUGCACAAUGGGGGAAACCCUGAUGCAGCAACGCCGCGUGAAGGAUGACGGUUUUCGGAUUGUAAACUUCUUUUCUUAGUGACGAAGACAGUGACGGUAGCUAAGGAAUAAGCAUCGGCUAACUACGUGCCAGCAGCCGCGGUAAUACGUAGGAUGCAAGCGUUAUCCGGAUUUACUGGGUGUAAAGGGAGCGCAGGCGGGACUGCAAGUUGGAUGUGAAAUACCGUGGCUUAACCACGGAACUGCAUCCAAAACUGUAGUUCUUGAGUGAAGUAGAGGCAAGCGGAAUUCCGAGUGUAGCGGUGAAAUGCGUAGAUAUUCGGAGGAACACCAGUGGCGAAGGCGGCUUGCUGGGCUUUAACUGACGCUGAGGCUCGAAAGUGUGGGGAGCAAACAGGAUUAGAUACCCUGGUAGUCCACACUGUAAACGAUGAUAGCUAGGUGUGGGGGGUCUGACCCCUUCCGUGCCGGAGUUAACGCAAUAAGCUAUCCACCUGGGGAGUACGACCGCAAGGUUGAAACUCAAAGGAAUUGACGGGGGCC
rnacentral:rRNA from 1 species